rnacentral:tRNA from 1 species
CCGCGGGUAGCUCAGUCAGGUAGGAGCGACGGGUUGUAAACCCGUCGGUCGCGGGUUCAAAUCCCGCCCCGCGAACCA